GAGUUUGAUCAUGGCUCAGGAUGAACGCUAGCGGCAGGCUUAACACAUGCAAGCCGAGGGGUAUUCUAGCAAUAGGAGAGACCGGCGCACGGGUGCGUAACGCGUAUGCAAUCUGCCUUUCACAGAGGGAUAGCCCAGAGAAAUUUGGAUUAAUACCUCAUAGUAUAAUGACUCGGCAUCGAGAUAUUAUUAAAGUCACAACGGUGAAAGAUGAGCAUGCGUCCCAUUAGCUAGUUGGUAAGGUAACGGCUUACCAAGGCGACGAUGGGUAGGGGUCCUGAGAGGGAGAUCCCCCACACUGGUACUGAGACACGGACCAGACUCCUACGGGAGGCAGCAGUGAGGAAUAUUGGACAAUGGGCGCAAGCCUGAUCCAGCCAUGCCGCGUGCAGGAUGACGGUCCUAUGGAUUGUAAACUGCUUUUGCACAGGAAGAAACACCCCCUCGUGAGGGGGCUUGACGGUACUGUGAGAAUAAGGAUCGGCUAACUCCGUGCCAGCAGCCGCGGUAAUACGGAGGAUCCAAGCGUUAUCCGGAAUCAUUGGGUUUAAAGGGUCCGUAGGCGGUUUACUAAGUCAGUGGUGAAAGCCCAUCGCUCAACGGUGGAGCGGCCAUUGAUACUGCUAGACUUGUAUUAUUAGGAAGUAACUAGAAUAUGUAGUGUAUCGGUGAAAUGCUUAGAGAUUACAUG
rnacentral:rRNA from 1 species